UACGUAGGGUGCAAGCGUUGUCCGGAAUUAUUGGGCGUAAAGAGCUCGUAGGCGGUCUGUCGCGUCUGCUGUGAAAACUCAGGGCUUAACCCUGAGCUUGCAGUGGGUACGGGCAGACUAGAGUGCGGUAGGGGAGACUGGAAUUCCUGGUGUAGCGGUGAAAUGCGCAGAUAUCAGGAGGAACACCGGUGGCGAAGGCGGCUUUCUGGGCCUUACCUGACGCUGAGGAGCGAAAGCUGGGGGAGCAAACAGG
rnacentral:rRNA from 1 species